rnacentral:lncRNA from 1 species
AUAAAAAAAAGAUUCAAAUGUUAUUAUUCAAAGGUGGUUAUCACUCAAGAACAAGGAACUUGAUCAUUAUGCAAAAUUUAUCUAAGAUUAGAAGCAACUCAUGCAUACAUAGAUUCAUUCUCAUCAUUCUACCAUUUUCCUAAGUGAUUACAAGUUCCACCCUUUUAUCAUCAUCUCAAACCAAAAUAAAACCCACUCACAUCACUCACCCAAUGAAAAACUCUCUUUUUCUUUUCACUCAACUAACUAGGGACUUUAAUUCAUUUUCUUUACAACACUUAGCUCUAACUCUUUCUCAUUUCCUUCCUCACCUUCUCUUUGAUUCUUUUCUCUUUUUUUUUUUUUAUAAGGGGGAAGGUUCUUUUGUACAUAAUCUAGAGCUUCAUACUUUCCUUUUUGUCCCUAGAGUUUUCUUUUCUAUUGACACUCUUUUGUUCAUCUCUCACAUAUUUCUCACUCCUCAAACCCAAUAUAUUGAAAUUUAGACCACACAAACCCCUCUCACCAUC